UCAGUCGACUCCUACGGGGAGGCAGCAGUGGGGAAUAUUGCACAAUGGGGGAAACCCUGAUGCAGCCAUGCCGCGUGUGUGAAGAAGGCCUUCGGGUUGUAAAGCACUUUCAGUAGGGAGGAAGGUAGUGUAGUUAACACCUGCACUAUUUGACGUUACCUACAGAAGAAGCACCGGCUAACUCCGUGCCAGCAGCCGCGGUAAUACGGAGGGUGCGAGCGUUAAUCGGAAUUACUGGGCGUAAAGCGCAUGCAGGCGGCCUGUUAAGUCAGAUGUGAAAGCCCGGGGCUUAACCUCGGAAUUGCAUUUGAAACUGGCAGGCUAGAGUCUUGUAGAGGGGGGUAGGAAUUUCAGGUGUAGCGGUGAAAUAGCGUAGAGAUCUGAAGGAAUACCAGUGGCGAAGGCGGCCCCCUGGACAAAGACUGACGCUCAGAUGCGAAAGCGUGGGGAGCAAACAGGAUUAGAUACCCUGGUAG
rnacentral:rRNA from 1 species